UGUUCUUGGUAAUGUGGCUAUCUGCAUGUGCAUGAAUAGCUCAAGAGUGAAUCAGAACCAUGGUCAUGUGAGUUCAAGUGCUUGGUUCUUUGACAUGGAUAUCCUUAUUUUAUAUGAUUUUGAUAUUUCAUAUUUGCAUAUGAUUAUAUUUAUAGUUUCUAGCAAUUUGUUCAUUUCAGCUUAAUUCAUAUAUUGCUGAUUUGCAGGGUGUAAAAUGUGGUAUUUAUGGUGCCAAUUCUGCAGAAUGGAUUAUGAGCAUGCAGGUGUUGGGGCUAUAGAGUUUAUUAUAUGCCAUUCAGAGGUCUCAAUUGCACUUGCAGAAGAGAAGAAGAUACCUGAGCUAUUCAAGACAUUUCCAAAUGCAACAAAGUAUCUCAAGAGAUCAAACUCAGAGCUUUGAACUUCCUAUUAAGAAAAGGAUGUAUACAUAUCAUACCUUCCACUCGCACAUACUUUUUUUAGGACCAUUGAGGAGAUAUUCAUAUGGCAUGGUGCUUCAAUUGGUUUCUGGCGUGGGGAUGUCAAAUUGUUAAUUGAUGAUGUUGGGGAACUAAAACCAACUAUUUUCUGUGUUGUU